AUAAGGUACUUCCGUGAUGAUAUACAAAGAAUGGGAAAAAUUCCAAGAAAAGGAUCUUACAAUACAAUUACGUUUUUACAUCGAAUGUGCUCACUUGAAGUCGAUGACAUCGCAUUGAUUUACAGUUUAAAUACUAAUAUUGUUUUAUGAAGAUAUCCUUUUUUGUUUAAAUCAUUUCUAAUUUGAACAAUAAAGCAAGUUAGCAUAGAAGAUGCUUCCACGAC
rnacentral:lncRNA from 1 species